rnacentral:rRNA from 1 species
UGAGUAACACGUAUCCAACCUGCCGUCUACUCUUGGACAGCCUUCUGAAAGGAAGAUUAAUACAAGAUGGCAUCAUGAGUCCGCAUGUUCACAUGAUUAAAGGUAUUCCGGUAGACGAUGGGGAUGCGUUCCAUUAGAUAGUAGGCGGGGUAACGGCCCACCUAGUCUUCGAUGGAUAGGGGUUCUGAGAGGAAGGUCCCCACAUUGGAACUGAGACACGGUCCAA